CGAAUGCAGAUUCGGAGUUGAAGUGGAACUAUCGCACUGCUAGCGAACAUCCCCCAGCAACCGUCACCAGGCCGGGUAGCAAUCAAGUAGUCCACGAUCCCUUCACCAUCUCCCGGACCCAUGCCAGCAGUAGUAUUGUGUUUGAUUUCCGAAGCGGAAGUUGUGUGACAGCUGGAACUUAGCGAAGCGUUGCUUUUCCGCAUUGUUUUGUCAACAGCCGCCAACGUGACUGGUACGGGGGCUCGCGUGGUCUGGUGAGAUAUUGCCAGCGGUAAGCGGAUUGUGCCAUCGUGCGCACUAAUACGGUUCGUGACGGAUGAGCAUCACAACUGCAUGCGGCGGCGGCGGCGCGCCCUGUGUGACAAUUAUCUGUCCCAAAAGGAUGCGAUCCUUGCUCUCACCCCGUCCGAAUCAUCCCUAUCUGUCGAGCCCUGGUCUGGAUAGUGCAUAGGACGGAGCCUUCGGGACCAUUCGUCGGCCUCUGGUGGUGUCUGGGAUUUAAUCCACUUAUAACGCUACCUCUUUCCAGCCGACCGGCUUAGGCUUACGAUGCACAGCCGGAUGGUGAAAGUUGUUUGGUUUAUUAAGGAUUUGCUGGAGCGAAACAAGCACAAGAGGGUCUGUGAAGUCCAUACAGAAAGGUUCUUUCAACAAUCGAACUCAACGUAUGCGAUUAUACACACUCCAAUAGCAAUACGGUACUAGAAAAGUCGAACACACCCGGUUUCGGCCUUUUAGGUUUGCGGGAUAUAAAUUGUUCGUCCUUUGCGUCGUGCACUCGACUCGCGGGGGGGGGGGGGGAGUGAAAUCAUGCA